CGCUGGUGAAGGUUGUUGGUGGUAUUCCUUUGUAUUGUGUGGUGUGAAAAUUCGCAUGAAAGUGGCAAAUUUCUUCUAACGUGCUUUGAAAGUGCGUGCUGUGUCGGAGUGUAGAUUCAAAGCAUCUCCCCGUCGUGUCCCCCGGAGGGGAAUUUGCCCCUGGAGGAGGUGGGACACAGCAUUUGAGUUUUAAUUGAUACCAAAAAGAGGAAAAACUGCUGGAUGGAUGAAAUUAUCGCAACUAUCUGCGCAGUAGCACUCAGGUGGUGUCUUCGGUUACUUACUAAAACCAUGAAGUCGUCCGUCAUCGUUAAAGUCAUCGAUUGGGUAUGAUUAAUGUAAAGCAGAUCAUCAUUAGAGGACUUGGAGACAGAGAAAGUGGAAGGCAUUUGUGGCACAAUUGUGCGCAGCCAGUUACGGAUUUGCUACAUCGACGAAAAAAAGACAAAUGCCACCACGGAACAGUAAUUAAGUGCAAGUAGCGCGCCUCUCAAGGAGCAAAAGAGCUCCCCCUCCAAACAAUAGCAAUAUUUAUCGACCAUUGAUGGCGACGGCAUUGGUUAGCAAAAAAAACUGGACCAUCAAAUAAAACGACAAAAAAAAAAACGGAAAGCUGCUCCCCCUUAGCCCAAACCGAAAGUUAAAGAAAACAAUUGAAGAAAAACGGGCAAGGGUGCGAACAUCAUGUGUGUCCCCUUUUCGUGUUAUGUUCCUAAAGAACUGAAGUGGAACUUUUGAGCCUCCGUUUUUAGUUCCCACACAUACACACACAUACACGGUGUUUUGGUUUCGCUGUCACUGCCAAGAGAGAAAACUAUCGACGGAGUAAAAUGUUCUGCAAAAAAAACCCACAUUCGUAGUAAGAGCUUGUGGUGCCGCACCCUGUCAAGGAAAUCAAUAUUAAAAUCAAUAUACGUUUAUAACGAGUCAGUGAUCGUCUCAAAAUCAGGAGAAAGGGUAGGGUGGAGGGGGGGGGGGUACCCCCCAAGUCUUCCCACAACAGUCAAAUUGAGGAAGUCCUGGUGGACGGUGCUCUGAGGUUCCGUCUGUCUGAAAACAUUGGUCGAGCGUGAACAAAAGCGGGAAGCAGGCACUCUUCUGCCCUUUUUUUAAUUACGAGCCUACGGGCGGGACGGCUGCGUGUCUUGGAAGACGUUUUUUCUCGUUGUACUUUUUUGAUAGCGCUGUUAGUGUUUUGUUCCCACCAAAUCUCCCCAUAAGAGCCUGGGCAUUGCUGAUCAGUGAGGAAGAAAAGCAAAGUUCGUCCCGUGGACCGACGGUCCCGUAAACCACUCCCCUUCGGUUGCGCUUGUUGUGCGCUCUUCGGCUGUGCGGUGCCAUAUGCUGUCCCUGUUUAUUUGCCGGGAAGUGGAAGCCAGAGCCGCAGCAACACAAUCUUUCUGGUGUGUACCCCGUCGGUCCGGGGUCCGGCAGCAACGCUGCAACUCGGUCCGUUUGUCGCUUGGACGCAACAAGUUACCAGCCGGCACAGCAUCUGCAACAGCGCCGAAUGUCGCACGCAGGCGGAGAACUGCGCAUGAUACACGUAUAAAAGCGGCUCGCCCGAGUGUGUCGGAACUUUAGUUUCUUCGGAACCGUCUUCAUCUAGACUUCUAGAGCUUGAGCUCUCGUGCACGAUUUCGAAGCACUUUUUUGAGUUGUUGUAAAAAGAAUCAGCUGUAAAACAUCUCGUGUGUGUGUGCGUGCGUGCAGUGUGUGCUAGUGAAGCUGACAGCCGUUGAACGACCCAGCUCGUCGGGUGCAAAGGACACGCAAAACAUUUUAGCGGGUGUCACGCAUUUGUUUGCGAGUCGAGUCAUUCGCUGUAGGUCAGGCUAAGCGAGCAUGGCGGUCAAAUACGAUGCGGAUGCGGAGAAGGAAGGCGUCGCCAGUGGGUCGAAAGCACCACCAUCCUCACCAAUACACGACGACAAUCAAACGGAUCCAACCUUCCAAGCCCCACCACACAUGAUGGAGGAGCAGUACGUUUACUACCCGGAGGACGUGUUUGUGAUGAUACAGGUCGUACGCAUUAGAUGGUUGCUGCGCUUGAUUAUCUCCCAUCUGGUAUCUCAAGUGCUGAUAUCUUACAUGGAUUAUUCACCCCAGGGACAGUAUAUGUGCCAAAUCGUAAUGUUGGUGUUGCUGUACUAUUAUGGCAUUUAAAUGGUAACACCGAUGCUGAAGCGGAAGAUGAGGAGUAAAAGAAGGAGGGACCAUAUGAUGUCAUCGAUUCGCCUAGCGGCAGCCAGCAGCAGCUCAGCUUCUUUUCUGUUAGUAUGGACUCGGAUCGGAGGACACGUUUUCGAGUUCUUGGGCGAUACCAAACCCCACCGCAGUCAUCCUGUUGUUAGCCACAUCAACAAUUUCACCUAGUAGUAGUUUACUUGAGAUUCUGUAGUGGUUUUUGCUACAGUGUGUCAGCUCCUUACCAUCCUACAAGUUGCUUACGUAAGCGUUUAGGGAUGGGAAAACAAUCUUAGAUGUAACCGCUCAAAGUUUGCAGCGAUAGACCAACUGCGCGAUGGUUUAUCGCUCCACACUUUGCUUUGUUUUUAUUUUACUUCUUUUUAUUAACUUCAUAACCCCAUAAACCCAUCCCCUGAACCCAUAAACAGUUUUCUAUAGUAUUAAAAUGAAUCCACCUGUACAUAUAGGUUCUACCAGCAUCACUCUCCAUCCAAUUGCGACAUGCAAUCGAUACGGUGCCUUUUUGCCCACUGUCCAACCCCAAAACACCGGCUCAAUGCGUUUGAAUGGACUUUAAACGCAUUUGACGCCAUCUUGUAAAUAUUACGACACGAGGCAAAGAGGUAACCCCCCACUAGGUAUCUGCUUGCACUGACAAGAAGAUGAAUAAGGUAGUUUAAGCGUAAUAGUAUCUAAGUUUAGGAAAUAAGGAAUAAUAAUACCUAAGGUUUAGAAGAUAAGGGAUUUACCCUUUAGAAGGGUAAAGGAGUGUGUUGGUUGGUGUUUAGCCAGCGCUAAUAGUUCGUUUGAACUGAACUGCUCUUCAUAUAAAGUGCAGUUCAACUAUCAAACCAAGGGCCGGGGUAUCUGCAAUGUACAAACAUGGUUAAGAUGUUUGUUUGUUCCUUCGCAUUGUUGCGAAAGACAAGCAAAACUCGAACCAUUUUAGGCGAUAAGGUUUACUUUCGAAGUAAAAAUUAAGAUAAGUCUGACUUCAGAUUUUUUUAGCUGCACUUAGAUGUAAAUGCGCAGCUGUACCUGUAUGAAGGCUUCAGGGUUCGUUCUUAUUUGCUGACUGUCCAUAAUCUAAUGUACAAAAAGUUUGUACGACAUGUAAAUAUCGGACACGAAGCAAAUAAGUAACAAAAUUAGUUCUGUAAGAUUGGGAAGGGAUUUACAGCAUAAAAAUAACAAUAAUAAUAUUAAUAAUGUUAAGGAACGCAAGAUGAGAAGAUAAAAAUAAGAACUAAGUAGACAUAAGACGUAAAAGAAUGCGAAGAAAGAUUGUAUAAGGUGAGGUUGGGAGAUAUAAAUAUGAUCAUAUCUCUUAACUUUACCUUAUAGACUAUAGAUAUGCAUACAUAUAAAUGUAUAAGUAUAUAUUUCUAUAUAUACAGACAUUUCAACAUUUCUAUUAGAUUCAGGGAAAUGAUCCACUGUUAGUAAGGAAACACGCGCGCAGGAGCUCUUGUAAGUAGUGCUAGUAGGUGAAAAGAUUGAUGAGGCCGGCAUUCAGACAGAAAAGUACUAUAAAAUUGUUCCAGAUUUAGAUAAAGGACUACGAAUAUUGUCUUCUUCUUUAUUCGUCAAAGCAUUCUCAUACUCUUGCUCGUCCAACAAAAAAAAAAGAGUGAGAGAGGGAUGGUGAUCAUCCACUUGGUGCCAGUUCGGAAUGGAACUCACGGCGGCUGCUCUAAUCGAAGGUGCUCGUUCAAUCGGGCUGUGAAUAAUCCCUGUUAGUGUUGUUGUUUAUAACAUUGUUAUCAUCACACGUGUCUACAUAUACUUCCUGCAGGAGUUUUUACUCGCUUCCUAGCCACAUGCCAAUAAAUGGUGCGCACCACUUCGCUUCUAAAUGUUAAAAAGAAAACCAUUACUAUUAUUAGCAUCGGCUUUAUCAGCUGAGUGCAACUACUAACCAGCCGUGUAUUAGACUACAACAUAAAGA